CUGAAAUGCUGUAAACCCAGAAAGCUGAACAGGAAGCGAGGAGUUCUCCUGGAGAAGACACCCCGCGGGAUUUUAUGAGCCUCGUUUCGUUUUCCCAGCGCUCUCAGCGGCAGCUUGUACGGUUUCUCUCCCAAGCCCGCGCCGGGUUAUCCAGCUAUCUGCCUCACGCCCUGCAACCCCAGCCGAGAAGCACUGCCUCCUGUACGGUCAAGGAGACCCACGGAGAAACAGAGGGCCACGGUUCCCACGGGGGGCGUGGCUCGGUCAUUACGUCUGUGGUGCAGAUGGAGAGGCAGGUCUCCGACGGCAAUAAUAAUACCUCACUGCAGCA